UUUUGGACAAUGGGGGCAACCCUGAUCCAGCCAUGCCGCGUGAGUGAAGAAGGCCUUCGGGUUGUAAAGCUCUUUCGGACGGAACGAAAUGGGCGGGACUAAUACUCCUGUCUGAUGACGGUACCGUAAGAAGAAGCACCGGCUAACUACGUGCCAGCAGCCGCGGUAAUACGUAGGGUGCGAGCGUUAAUCGGAAUUACUGGGCGUAAAGCGUGCGCAGGCGGUUUCGUAAGCUGGAGGUGAAAUCCCCGGGCUUAACCUGGGAAUGGCCUUCAGGACUGCGAGGCUAGAGUGCGGCAGAGGGAGGUGGAAUUCCACGUGUAGCAGUGAAAUGCGUAGAGAUGUGGAGGAACACCGAUGGCGAAGGCAGCCUCCUGGGCCAGCACUGACGCUCAUGCACGAAA
rnacentral:rRNA from 1 species